GUUGAUUUAGGCAGAUUGAUGAAGGAAUGAGAAGUAUUCAAAUCCAGCAUUUUUGUGUGGGAGUUUUGGUGAAGGAAUCGAGCUGUAUUCAGAUCCUGAGUUUUUGUGUGACGAGUGUUUCCAGAGCAACGAGGUGGUGACAUAGCUCUUCUCUCUGCUUCACACCCCCACGUCUCCUUCUCCUGCCUAGAAGGUUUAUGUGUUUUGAACUGAUCAUCCUUGGUUCAUGACACGGCGACACAAAUCUAGAGUUUUACAUUGGGACCAUUUCAGGUGUCGCAUUAUUCCACAUGGGAUGUCCUUGUUGCUUUUGAGAUGCCUUUUCACAGGUUCAAGAUUUCUUUCUAUCUAUUAUUGCUUUUUUGUCUCUUCCUCUCCAUUUUUUGUUUCUCACUCUUUUUUUUUCUCUCUUUUACAGUUGUAUAUGUUUGUUUAUAUAUCAUAAAAUUUAUAAACUUUGAAUAUAGGUGUCAUGUUUCAGGUUUGCGUGGGAUGUCCUUGUCUAUGCUGAGAUGCCUUUUCAUAGGUUCAAUAUUAGUUAUCCAUAUGUUCCUAAAUGAAAAAAUACGUAAGUUCACUGAAUUGUGUGUCAUUACUAUGUUUCUAUCAUCAUUUUAUUCUCAUGAUUUGUUUAUGUUGUGUUGAUUGUGGUGUUAUUCUAAUCAACUACAUGAAACUACGGAAUGUCCAUGCUAAAUUGGUGAAUGAGUUAUCUCAAGAUGAUAUUAAGAACAUUCGAGUUCAAGAUGACAUUAAGAACAUUUGAGUUAUCAUUUUGUUUGCGUUGUCUUUUUGAAUUGCAACACUGGUUUUUAACUUCCAUCAUUUUACUGAACAAGGGGUUAUGUGUUUAUGGAACAAUUGUUUGAUUAGUUGUGGCACAUGAAGUUUCUAGUAAGGAUGGUACCUGGCUCAGUAUUUUUGUGGACUGUUCUCUUUUUAUUUGUAUAUGUGAUAUGUUAGGUAAGGUUUAGUGUUUAUGUUUUAU